UGAUCACGCCCCAACAGUUUUCGCCUCUAGUGCGUCAGUCGACAACCGGACGGACUACCAUUUAUCACAGAACACAACAAUAAAAAUACAAACGCAAAAACAAAAAUUAUUUUGAACAUUUUAAAAAUGCUUUGACAGAUUGUUGUUGUCGGAAUUUUCGCGUUAAUUUCGCCUCAAUUUUACAAAAAAUUCUUUGUAUAUUUGUGUGAAACUAAAAAUUGUCUUAAGUGUUUAUUUUUAGGGUUUUUAUCCGCAAAAAGAAACGACUGUGCUUUCAUGGUCGGCAGAAGGGAGAGGGAGGAGCUGAGUAGCCUCUCAGGCUAUGAAUCAAAAACAAAAUACGCCAUAACAAAACAAACCCAACAACAACGGCGGCAAAACACAUGCCAAACGAGAGAGGGUCACACACCGAAAGAGUAGCGUGCGAAAGAAUGAUAGCGCUGCAGCGCGCUGGCUACGUUGAAGGGUGGGCGGAAGAGCGGAGUACCGUUGACAGACAGACAACAAAUUUGCUCAUUUGAUCUUCUCUCUCUGUAGCUCACCUUCGGCUGACACUCGCCUCAUCAUUCUCCCAGUUAGGUGUGCUCAUAAGAAGGCAGACGUUUUGCGUGUGCACACAGCUUCUUUGUAAUCUACCAUGCAUACUCCCUGCUCCUGUUUCAUCGGCCUCUGUUGCUGAUUUGCCCUCCUCGUGUUCUCGUACUCCUCUGCUUCGACAACCUUUGUUUUGUUGUUAUGCAAAUGCCAAACUGCAUUUCAAACGACAGCGAAAUGCAUUUUUCGAAAGUGUGAAAUGGAAAUACAAAGCGUAAAUGAAAAUCAUGUGAGGUGCCAAGAGCAGCAACAACAGCAGCAGCAGCAGGCAGCCAACAGCUGUACAGCUCGCAGCAGCAGCACUGCGCACACCUCACCUAAUCAUAUGCAAACGCGUGUUGCCUGUGAUUGUUGCUGCUCCUCUUCUCGUUUAUCUUCAUUGACAGCACAAGAGACUUAAACAGCUGCAAAGCGAUGGGUACAGUGGGCAUCGACAGGAAGGAAUGGGAUUUAAUGGGAUAAUUAAAAAAUCUAUCAGAAAAUACAAUAAUAAAGGAUAAUACAAGGAACUGACUGAAAGAAAAUGGUUGAAGAUUGCUCCAGAAAGCUAUCCAGAAAGGCAACGAUCAAAAACCCAAAACAUGCAUAUGUAAGUACAGUCAUGGGCAUAGGAAUAUGUACUGCCAUUGUGCAUUGUUUCUGCUGUCUACGCACACAAAAAAUCUGAAUGUAUGCGUGAUGAUCUCCGAUAAACAACAACGAAACGAAGUACAUAUAAGCACUCCAUUAAAUAGUUAGUUUACAGCUGUUUUACAGCGAUUUUUAAAGAAAAAAUCAUGUUAGUUCAUAAAUAAAUCAAUUUUCUAUAAGAU